UACGUAGGGUGCAAGCGUUAAUCGGAAUUACUGGGCGUAAAGCGUGCGCAGGCGGUUAUGUAAGACAGGUGUGAAAUCCCCGGGCUUAACCUGGGAACUGCAUUUGUGACUGCAUAGCUAGAGUACGGUAGAGGGGGAUGGAAUUCCGCGUGUAGCAGUGAAAUGCGUAGAUAUGCGGAGGAACACCGAUGGCGAAGGCAAUCCCCUGGACCUGUACUGACGCUCAUGCACGAAAGCGUGGGGAGC
rnacentral:rRNA from 1 species